rnacentral:misc_RNA from 1 species
GAUGAAGAACGUAGCGAAAUGCGAUAAGUAGUGUGAAUUGCAGAAUUCAGUGAAUCAUCGAAUCUUUGAACGCACAUUGCGGCCAUAGGUAUUCCUUUGGCCAUGCCUGUUCGAGCGUCAUUUACACCCUCAAGCCUAGCUUGGUGUUGGGCGUCUGUCCCGCCGUUCUCGCGCGCGGACUCGCCUCAAAGUCAUUGGCGGCGGUCGUGCCGGCCCCCUCGCGCAGCACAUUUGCGCUUCUCGGAGGCCCGGCGGAUCCGCGCUCCAGCAAGACCUUUCACGACUUGACCUCGGAUCAGGUAGGGAUACCCGCUGAACUUAAGCAUAUCAAUAAGCGGGA